GUUGAACGCUGGCGGCAGGCCUAACACAUGCCAGUCGAGCGGAUGAAGGGAGCUUGCUCCUGGAUUCAGCGGCGGACGGGUGAGUAAUGCCUAGGAAUCUGCCUGGUAGUGGGGGAUAACGUCCGGAAACGGGCGCUAAUACCGCAUACGUCCUGAGGGAGAAAGUGGGGGAUCUUCGGACCUCACGCUAUCAGAUGAGCCUAGGUCGGAUUAGCUAGUUGGUGGGGUAAAGGCCUACCAAGGCGACGAUCCGUAACUGGUCUGAGAGGAUGAUCAGUCACACUGGAACUGAGACACGGCCCAGACUCCUACGGGAGGCAGCAGUGGGGAAUAUUGGACAAUGGGCGAAAGCCUGAUCCAGCCAUGCCGCGUGUGUGAAGAAGGUCUUCGGAUUGUAAAGCACUUUAAGUUGGGAGGAAGGGCAGUAAGUUAAUACCUUGCUGUUUUGACGUUACCAACAGAAUAAGCACCGGCUAACUUCGUG
rnacentral:rRNA from 1 species